GUGAGGGUGACUGAUCGUGGGAAGGAAGCGUGGAGCAUAAAUCGCGAGCCGAUGAACAAGAACCGCAUAGAAGGCGUUGCCAAGUAGGGCGAGCGGGCCAGAAACCGCGAAGCUCUGGUGAUCAAGGCGAGGUGGCGUAGAUGCGGCGGUUGUGCGAUGAAGGAGUACGUUC
rfam:Sodalis glossinidius str. 'morsitans' DNA, complete genome.